AGAGUUUGAUCCUGGCUCAGAACGAACGCUGGCGGCGUGGCUAAAACAUGCAAGUCGAACGCGAACGGCUCUUCGGAGCUUAUUAGAGUGGCGAAAGGGCGAGGAAUACUUGGGUAACGUACCCUACACACCGGGAUAGCUGUGGGAAACUACAGAUAAUACUGGAUGAGACCACGACUCGUAAGAGUUGUGCUCAAAGGGCGGGGAUCUCUUCGGAGACCCGUUGGUGUUGGAGCGGCCCAAGUCCUAUCAGGUUGUUGGUGAGGUAAUGGCUCACCAAGCCUACGACGGGUACCGGGACUGAGAGGUUGAUCCGGCGCAUUGGGACUGAGACACUGCCCAGACUCCUACGGGAGGCUGCAGUAACGAAUAUUGGACAAUGAGCGAAAGCUUGAUCCAGCGACGCCGCGUGUAGGAUGAAGUCCCUCGGGAUGUAAACUACUGUCAGGGACUACCAAGCAAGGACUGUUAAUACCGGUCUGCGUUGAGGAAUCCCAGAGGAAGCCACGGCUAACUUCGUGCCAGCAGCCGCGGUAAGACGAAGGUGGCGAGCGUUGUUCGGAAUUACUGGGCUUAAAGCGCAUGUAGGCGGAUCAUCAGGUGUCUUGUGAAAGCCCUCGGCUCAACCGAGGAACUGCUGGGCAAACCGAUGAUCUUGAGGCAGGUAGGGGCAACGGGAACUCUUGGUGGAGCGGUGGAAUGCGUAGAUAUCAAGAGGAACGCCAGAGGCGAAGGCGCGUUGCUGGGCCUGUCCUGACGCUGAGAUGCGAAAUCGUGGGUAGCGAACGGGAUUAGAUACCCCGGUAGUCCACGCCCUAAACGAUGUCAACUAGAUCGAGGGUUCUCUGACGGAUUCUUGGUCGAAAUGAAAACGGUAAGUUGACCGCCUGGGGUUACGGUCGCAAGGCUAAAACUCAAAGGAAUUGACGGGGGCUCACACAAGCGGUGGAGCAUGUUGCUUAAUUCGAUCAACGCGAAGAACCUUAUCCUGGGCUUGACAUAUUUGGAUGACCAUCUGGAAGCAGAGUAGUCUGCUCUUCGGAGUGAAACUUAUACAGGUGCUGCAUGGCUGUCGUCAGCUCGUGUCGUGAGAUGUUGGGUUAAGUCCCGUAACGAGCGAAACCCUUGUCGUUAGUUGCCAGCGCGUUAUGGCGGGGACUCUAGCGAGACUGCCGGUGUUAAACCGGAGGAAGGUGGGGAUGACGUCAAGUCCUCAUGGCCUUUAUGCCCAGGGCUGCAAACGUGCUACAAUGGCGUGUACAAACCGACGCAAGACCGCGAGGUGGAGCAAAUCGGAAAAAACACGCCCCAGUUCGGAUUGGAGUCUGCAACUCGACUCCAUGAAGUCGGAAUCGCUAGUAAUCGCGUAUCAGCGUGACGCGGUGAAUGAGUUCCUGAGCCUUGUACACACCGCCCGUCAAGUCAUGGAAGCUGGUAGCACCCGAAGUCGCCCUAUUUCAGGGGUGCCGAAGGUGAGAUCGGUAACUGGGACUAAGUCGUAACAAGGUA
rnacentral:rRNA from 1 species